rnacentral:rRNA from 1 species
UACGUAGGGGGCAAGCGUUGUCCGGAUUUAUUGGGCGUAAAGCGCGUGUAGGCGGCCCGGUAAGUCCGCUGUGAAAGUCGGGGGCUCAACCCUCGGAUGCCGGUGGAUACUGUCGGGCUAGAGUCCGGAAGAGGCGAGUGGAAUUCCUGGUGUAGCGGUGGAAUGCGCAGAUAUCAGGAGGAACACCAAUAGCGAAGGCAGCUCGCUGGGACGGUACUGACGCUGAGGCGCGAAAGCGUGGGGAGCGAACAGG